rnacentral:rRNA from 1 species
UGAGUACGAGAUGCUACGGCAUCGAAGCAGUGUAUGUCAUACUUCCAAGAAAAGCUCGCAAUGUCAUAAACAAAUAAUGCCUGUACCAUAACCGACACAGGUGGGUAGGUAGAGUAUACUAAGGGGCGCGAGAUAACUCUCUCUAAGGAACUCGGCAAAAUGACUCCGUAACUUCGGGAGAAGGAGUGCCUUAUUUUUAUAAGGUUGCAAUAACAAGAUCCAAGCAACUGUUUACCAAAAACACAGGUCUCCGCUAAGUCGUAAGACGAUGUAUGGGGGCUGACGCCUGCCCAGUGCCAGAAGGUUAAAGAAGUUGGUUAGCAUUAGCGAAGCUGAUAACUGAAGCCCUGGUGAACGGCGGCCGUAACAAUAACGGUCCUAAGGUAGCGAAAUUCCUUGUCGGGUAAGUUCCGACCCGCACGAAAGGCGUAAUGAUUUGGAUACUGUCUCGGAGAGGGGCUCGGUGAAAUAGACUUGUCUGUGAAGAUGCGGACUACCUGCACCUGGACAGAAAGACCCUAUGAAGCUUUACUGUAACUUGAGAUUGAAAUUGGACUUUAUCUGCGCAGUAUAGGUGGGAGACGUUGGUAAUAUUCUUGCGGGAAUAUUGGAGUCAUCAGUGAGAUACCACUCUUAUAAUGUUAGAUUUCUAACUUUGUAUCAUUAUCUGGUCAAAGAACAGUUUCAGGCGGGCAGUUUGACUGGGGCGGUCGCCUCCCAAACGGUAACGGAGGCGCACAAAGGUUUCCUCUGAACGUGUAGAAAUCGUAUCUAGAGUGUAAAGGCAUAAGGAAGCUUGACUGUGAGACCUACAAGUCGAGCAGGGACGAAAGUCGGUCUUAGUGAUCUGACGGUGCUGAGUGGAAAGGCCGUCACUCAACGGAUAAAAGUUACUCUAGGAUAACAGGCUGAUCUCCCCCAAGAGUUCACAUCGACGGGGUGGUUUGGCACCUCGAUGUCGGCUCAUCGCAUCCUGGGGCGGUAGUACGUCCCAAGGGUUGGGCUGUUCGCCCAUGAAAGCGGUACGCGAGCUGGGUUCAGAACGUCGUGAGACAGUUCGGUCCAUAUCCGGUGUAGGCGCUAGAAUAUUGAGAGGAGCCUUCUUUAGUACGAGAGGACCGAGAAGGACAUACCUCUGGUGUACCAGUUAUCGUGCCAACGGUAAACGCUGGGUAGCUAUGUAUGGAGAGGAUAACCGCUGAAAGCAUCUAAGUGGGAAGCCCACCUCAAGAUAAG